UAUUUACCAGGUAGUGGUUAUUUACCAGGUAGCGGUUAUUUACCAGGUAUUUACCAGGUAGUGGUUAUUUACCAGGUAGCGGUUAUUAAACAAGUGGUUAUUAAACAAGUGGUUAUUAAACAAGUGGUUAUUUACCAGGUAGCGGUUAUUUACCGGGUAGUGGUUAUUUACCAGGUAGCAGUUAUUUACCAGGUAGUGGUUAUUUACCAGGUAGUGGUUAUUUACCAGGUAGCGGUUAUUUACCAGGUAGUGGUUAUUUACCAGGUAGUGGUUAUUUACCAGGUAACCAGGUAGCGGUUAUUUACCAGGUAGUGGUUAUUUACCAGGUAACCAGGUAGAGGUUAUUUACCAGGUAGUGGUUAUUUAACAAGUGGUUAUUUAACAAGUGGUUAUUUACCAGGUAGCCAUGUAGUGGUUAUUUACCAGGUAGCAGUUAUUUACCAUGUAGCGGUUAUUUACCAGGUAGCGAUUAUUUACCAGGUAACCAGGUAGUGGUUAUUUACCAGGUAACCAGGUAGUGGUUAUUUACCAGGUAGUGGUUAUUUAACAAGUGGUUAUUUGCCAUGUAGCGGUUAUUUACCAUGUAGCAGUUAUUUACCAGGUAGUGGUUAUUUACCAGGUAGUGGUUAUUUACCAGGUAGUGGUUAUUUAACAAGUGGUUAUUUACCAGGUAGUGGUUAUUUACCAGGUAGCGGUUAUUUACCAGGUAUUUACCAGGUAGUGGUUAUUUACCAGGUAGCAUUUAUUUACCAGGUAGCUGUUAUUUACCAGGUAGUAGUUAUUUACCAGGUAGCGGUUAUUUACCAGGUAGCGGUUAUUUACCAGGUAGCGGUUAUUUAACAGGUAGUGGUUAAUUACCAGGUAGCGGUUAUUUACCAGUUAUUUACCAGGUAGACAGGUAGUGGUUAUUUACCAGGUAGCGGUUAUUUACCAUGUAGCAGUUAUUUACCAGGUAGUGGUUAUUUACCAGGUAGCGGUUAUUUACCAGGUAGCGGUUAUUUACCAGGUAUUUACCAGGUAGUGGUUAUUUACCAGGUAGCAUUUAUUUACCAGGUAGCUGUUAUUUACCAGGUAGUAGUUAUUUACCAGGUAGCGGUUAUUUACCAGGUAGCGGUUAUUUACCAGGUAGCGGUUAUUUACCAGUUAUUUACCAGGUAGACAGGUAGUGGUUAUUUACCAGGUAGCGGUUAUUUACCAGGUAGUGGUUAUUUACCAGGUAGCAGUUAUUUACCAGGUAGCAGUUAUUUACCAGGUAGCCACGUAAUGGUUAUUUAAGAUGUGGUUAUUUGCCAGGUAGUGGCUAUUUACCAGGUAGCAGUUAUUUACCAGGUAGUGGUUAUUUACCAGGUAACCAGGUAGCAGUUAUUUACCAGGUAGCGGUUAUUUACCAGGUAGUGGUUAUUUAACAAGUGGUUAUUUACCAGGUAGCCAAGUAGUGGUUAUUUACCAUGUAGCGGUUAUUUACCAUGUAGCGGUUAUUUAGCAGGUAGCGAUUAUUUACCAGGUAACCAGGUAGUGGUUAUUUACCAGGUAACCAGGUAGUGGUUAUUUACCAGGUAGUGGUUAUUUAACAAGUGGUUAUUUGCCAUGUAGCGGUUAUUUACCAUGUAGCAGUUAUUUACCAGGUAGUGGUUAUUUACCAGGUAGUGGUUAUUUACCAGGUAGUGGUUAUUUAACAAGUGGUUAUUUACCAGGUAGCGGUUAUUUACCAGGUAGCGGUUAUUUACCAGGUAGUGGUUAUUUACCAGGUAGCGGUUAUUUACCAGGUAGCAGUUAUUUACCAUGUAGCAGUUAUUUACCAUGUAGCAGUUAUUUACCAGGUAGUGGUUAUUUACCAUGUAGCGGUUAUUUACCAGGUAGCCAUGUAGUGGUUAUUUACCAUGUAGCGGUUAUUUACCAGCUAGUGGUUAUUUACCAGGUAGCAGUUAUUUACCAUGUAGCAGUUAUUUACCAGGUAGUGGUUAUUUACCAUGUAGCGGUUAUUUACCAGGUAGCCAUGUAGUGGUUAUUUACCAUGUAGCGGUUAUUUACCAGGUAGUAGUUAUUUACCAGGUAGCGGUUAUUUACCAGGUAGUGGUUAUUUACCAGGUAGUGGUUAUUUACCAGGUAGUAGUUAUUUACCAUGUAGCAGUUAUUUACCAUGUAGCAGUUAUUUACCAUGUAGCAGUUAUUUACCAGGUAGUGGUUAUUUACCAUGUAGCAGUUAUUUACCAUGUAGUGGUUAUUUACCAGGUAGUGGUUAUUUACCAGGUAGCAGUUAUUUACCAUGUAGCAGUUAUUUACCAGGUAGUGGUUAUUUACCAGGUAGCGGUUAUUUACCAUGUAGCGGUUAUUUACCAGGUAGUGGCUAUUUACCAGGUACAAGUUAAUUACCAGGUAGUGGCUAUUUACCAGGUAGCAGUUAUUUACCAGGUAGUAGUUAUAUACCAGGUAGCAGUUAUUUACCAGGUAGCCAGGUAGUGGUUAUUUACCAGGUAGUGGUUAGUCAGUGGUAAUUUACCAGGUAGCGGUUAUUUACCAGGUAGUGGUUAUUUACCAGGUAGCCAGGUGGGGGUUAUUUACCAGGUAGCGGUUAUUUACCAGGUAGCGGUUAUUUACCAGGUAGUGGCUAUUUACCAGUUAUUCACCAGGUAGCAGUUGUUUACCAGGUAGUGGCAGGUAGCAGUUAUUUACCAGGUAGUAGUUAUAUACCAGGUAGCAGUUAUUUACCAGGUAGCCAGGUAGUGGUUAUUUACCAGGUAGUGGUUAUUUAGCAGGUAGUGGUUAUUUAACAGGUAGCGGUUAUUUACCAUGUAGCGGUUAUUUACCAGGUAGUGGCUAUUUACCAGGUACAAGUUAUUUACCAGGUAGUGGCUAUUUACCAGGUAGCAGUUAUUUACCAGGUAGUAGUUAUAUACCAGGUAGCAGUUAUUUACCAGGUAGCCAGGUGGGGGUUAUUUACCAGGUAGCGGUUAUUUACCAGGUAGUGGCUAUUUACCAGUUAUUCACCAGGUAGCAGUUGUUUACCAGGUAGUCAGGUAGUGGUUAUUUACCAGGUAGCUGUUAUUUACCAGGUAGCGGUUAUGUACCAGGUAGU